UUUUCCCUCCUUUCCAUUUUCUCCUUCCCUCCUCCACUCCCCAUCCUCUCUCUAUCGCAGCGUUGUUUGCGGUCUCCCGUCGCAGUUGCCCCUCGCUGUCGCCCCUCGCCUCGCCGUCGUCCUUUGCAGCCCCAUCCCCUCUCCCUUGGUCCAUUUUCUUCUUCACUCCUCCACUCUCCAUCCUCUCUCUGUCGUAGCGUGGUUCAAGGUCUCCCGUCGCCAUCGCUCAUCGCCGUUGGCCGUCACCAUCGCCCGCCACCCCUCCUUUACAUGGCUGUCUGCUUCAUGGUGAUGCUUCAGUAAAAGCUGCUUUGUAUAGGGAAAAAGUAGAUUUCUCCGAUUCAAUCACUGAUUGGACAAACAGAGGAGGCCCUAGGAAGUACUAAAGAACAACUUUAUGCUAUUGAAACGCGGGGAAGCUACAAAUUUUGAUCUGAAGAGGAUGGGAACCUCUUUCAUACAGAAGCAUGGACUUCGAAGAGUCAACUGGAGGCCCUUGAAGGGUGGGAGCAAAUAGCAUCUAAAGGUUUUGAGCAUUUUGAGCAGGAGGGUAACUGAGUGAUCUCAGUCGAGGAAUUGACAAGGCAGGUUUGAGCAAUUUUCACUACAUGUAUAUAUAUAUUUUCCAUAUCUAAGGUGUGAAGCGGGAUCUUUAUCGAUAUAUGCACCAGCUUUAUUGGUAUAUGCACCAGCAUCGGUAUAUGCACCUAUUUAAGGAUGAGGUGACGAAUGAGGAGAGGGAAAUUAAACAACAUUUGUUUGAGGACCAGCAACAGCAGCAUGAGGCAAAUGUUGAUAAUCUCUCCAAGUGUUUAGAGGAGCCAUUUGAUCAGUUUACUAUGGAUAAAGUUAUGAACAUAAGGAUGCAAGUCAUCAAUUUGUCUGUCAUUGUUGAUUCUCUUUGCAAGAAAAUGUCAGUAUGGCUGUGAAAAAUUUUGAAUCUUUUAUUUAUUUAUUUAUUUAUGCAUUUGAAAUUCAAUUGCUUAAAUAACAA